rnacentral:rRNA from 1 species
ACGUCCCGGGCUAAUACCCGGUGAAACUGACGGUACCUGCAGAAUAAGCACCGGCUAACUACGUGCCAGCAGCCGCGGUAAUACGUAGGGUGCAAGCGUUAAUCGGAAUUACUGGGCGUAAAGCGUGCGCAGGCGGUUCGGAAAGAAAGAUGUGAAAUCCCAGAGCUUAACUUUGGAACUGCAUUUUUAACUACCGGGCUAGAGUGUGUCAGAGGGAGGUGGAAUUCCGCGUGUAGCAGUGAAAUGCGUAGAUAUGCGGAGGAACACCGAUGGCGAAGGCAGCCUCCUGGGAUAACACUGACGCUCAUGCACGAAAGCGUGGGGAGCAAACAGGAUUAGAUACCCUGGUAGUCCACGCCCUAAACGAUGUCAACUAGCUGUUGGGGCCUUCGGGCCUUGGUAGCGCAGCUAACGCGUGAAGUUGACCGCCUGGGGAGUACGGUCGCAAGAUUAAAACUCAAAGGAAAUUGACGGGAAACUCAAGGGAUUUGACGGAACUUCAAGGGAUUUGCGAGAGAUUGAGGGUCG